rnacentral:snoRNA from 1 species
CCGCUGGAUGAUGAACUGGUCGCCUACAUCCUAAAUGGGUUGGACUGUGAGUUCAAUCUGUUUGUCUCCGCCAUGGUCACCAGGGUUGAGCCGAUCUCUAUCUCUGAGUUGUAUUCACAGCUGCUCAGUUUUGAGA